CCUACGGUUGGCUGCAGUGGGGAAUAUUUGGCCAUGGAGGCAACUCUGACCCAGCUAUGCCGCGUGAGUGAUGAAGGUAAUUUUAUUGUAAAGCUCUUUUCUUUGGAACGAAUAAAUGACGGUACCAAAGGAAUAAGCUCCGGCUAACUACGGGCCAGCAGCCGCGGUAAUGCAUAGGGGGCAAGCGUUGUUCGGAAUGAAUGGGGGGAAAGGGUGUGUAGGUGGUUUGAUAAGUUAGUUGGGUAAUAGCCAGGGCUUAACUCGGGUGCUGCACCAAAAACUGUUAGACUAGAGUACUGGAGAGGAUAGUGGAAUUCCUAGUGUAGCGGUGGAAUGCGUAGAUAUUAGGAGGAACAUCAGUGGCGAAGGCGACUAUCUGGACAGCAACUGACACUGAGGCACGAAAGCGUGGGGAGCAAACAGGAUUAGAUACCCCUGUAGUC
rnacentral:rRNA from 1 species